rnacentral:rRNA from 1 species
UACGGAGGAGGCAAGCGUUAUCCGGAAUUAUUGGGCGUAAAGCGUCCGUAGAUGGUUUUGUCAGUCUGCUGUCAAAGCACAGGGCUUAACCCUGUAAAGGCAGUGGAAACUACAAGACUAGAGUGCAGUAGGGGCAGAGGGAAUUCCCAGUGUAGCGGUGAGAUGCGUAGAGAUUGGGAAGAACAUCCGUGGCGAAAGCGCUCUGCUGGACUGCAACUGACAUUGAGGGACGAAAGCUAGGGGAGCGAAUGGG